CAGCUGGUUCGCUGUCAAUGCCGUUUUCGUGUCGGACUGUAGGUUAAUUUCCACGUGCAGUGCUGUCUAGAAUGUAACAAAUUAAUUGAUGCGGGAUUGAGGGCUGCGCCACCCGAACGGGGUAACCAACAGAACCUGCGGGCCCCUUAUGGUUAACGUAGGCGGGAGCACUGUGCCCCAGGUUUAUGUAGGACGGGGUGACGGGAAUAUACUACGGAGGUGUACUUCGUUUAAAACCAGGAGUCACGCUCCGAUUUUGUUUUGAAGACACGGACAGGUAGGAACGUACGGAGAGUAGCUGGUAAUCUUGAGGAAUACUUGUUGUAGCAACCCGUUCACUAGGGAGUACACCUAGGAACUGGAAUUACUCGGGGAAUUGGGAACUGGUCAGAGUAAUAGAGGUAACGGCUUGCACGUUUUAAUAAAGGGUUGAAAGAU